UACGUAGGGACCAAGCGUUGUUCGGAUUUACUGGGCGUAAAGGGCGCGUAGGCGGCGUGGUAAGUCACUUGUGAAAUCUCCGAGCUUAACUCGGAACGGCCAAGUGAUACUGCUGCGCUAGAGUGCAGAAGGGGCAAUCGGAAUUCCUGGUGUAGCGGUGAAAUGCGCAGAUAUCAGGAGGAACACCGGUGGCGAAGGCGGGUCUCCUGGGCCGGU
rnacentral:rRNA from 1 species